AAGCGACUGUGGGGGACUCCGGAACCCGCAGCCUGGUGCUCGCGCUCGCGUGGCGGCGCACCGGCAGCUGGAGCAGCUGUGCCUUUGUUCUGAGCGCCCAGGUCGGCUGUUAGAGAGCCCAGGGCCAGGGGGCCCCGGUCCCUGAGGCGGCUGCGGGGGGCCUGGGCUUCCUCUAAGCGUUGGAGGAGGAGCAGCAGCAGCGGUGGCGGGCCACACUGUUCUCAGCUGGAAUCCAUUAGGCCUGGAGGAGUUUUGAGGAGAGGUGGCUUGGAUGUCCUGGGAAGGACAGGAGGAGACUUCCUAGAGCUAGGUAGGCCCUGGGAGGCAAGGUCUCCAAUUACUAAUCCCAGGUGUGCAAAGUACCUCUCCGUUGUCAUUGUGUCAGCCAGCUACCUGGAACAGGAAUCCUGCAUUUUCUCGUCUUGUUGUUGCAGUGUCACCAGUGUGAGUCCACUGAAGAAGAUUAGGCUCAUAAACAACAAGGAAAGUUCCUGAAAUACUUCCUGUCUCUGAUCAUUGUCCUUCCAACACACUGUAAUGUAACUUGAGUCUAUAAUCAAGGAAAAGGAGGGGAGGGCCGAACCCACCAGGCAGACAGUAGACAGAAAGAAAAAAGAAAAAUGGCUAAGAGGUGCUGGGAUAUAGGUCAGAAGAGCACAGGAAUACACAAGGCCUGGGAUUAAUCUCCAGCACAGUUCUCCCAAGUAAGGACAAAGGACUCGAGUAGAUUUUCUUCAAAGAUAAGAAAAUCUCCAAUUACCACGUGCUGUAUGCUGAUUUCAUUCGUUCUUGGGGACUGCUAAUCAAAACUACCAACUAUGGUAGUAUGGAGAUGACUCCGCAGUUUAGAAUACUUGGUGCUCUUCUGCAGGGACCCAGGUUUCCUCCAUCACCCACAUUUCGUUCUCAGACGUUAGAAUACAGUGCCUUCUUCUGGCCUCCAAGGGCACCAGAUACAUUCAUGGUAAAUAGACAUACAAGUAGGCAAAAUACUCAUAAUACAAAGUAAGUACAUCUUAAAAUCAAAUUAUUAUAGUAGACCAUAGGCUGGGGAGGUACUCAAGAGAGCGCUCAAGUGCCCAGUGUACAUACACAUGGCCUGAUGUUCAGCCUGAGAGGAGGGGGUGGGGGGAUUAUAUCAUUUACACCUACAGGAAUGGCUAUUAUAAAAACAAAAAUAUGGGGCUGGAGAGAUGGCUCGGUUAUUUAAGAGCACUCACUGCUCUUCCAGAAGUCCUGAGUUCAAUUCCCAGAAACCAAAUGGUGGCUCACAACCAUCUUUAAUGGGAUCCAAUGCAUUCUUCUGGUGUGGAUGAAGAGAGCAAUAGCGUACUCAUAUAUAUAAAAUAAAUAAAUAAAUCUUUUAAAAAGCUGGGCAGUGGUGGCACACGCCUUUAAUCCCAGCACUUGGGAGGCAGAGGCAGGCA